CCGGAUUGCGUUUGAAACUGCCAAACUAGAGUACCGGAGAGGUAGGCGGAACUACAAGUGUAGAGGUGAAAUGCGUAGAUAUUUGUAGGAAUGCCGAUGGGGAAGCCAGCCUACUGGACAAAUACUGACGCUAAAGCGCGAAAGCGUGGGUAGCAAA
rnacentral:rRNA from 1 species